rnacentral:lncRNA from 1 species
UUUAAAUGUAACCGACCAAGAAACUUGAUAGUGGCCUUCCACAAUAAAAUGAUUCAAAUCCCAGCUCACCAUGAAGUCUUUCUUUUUUUUGGUAAAAGCAUCACGAAGUUCUUUAUCAUAUCAUUCUCACCUCAAAGACACGUCACUUUCAAGGCUAAAUCACUUUUUAAAUUGAUAAUUUCAUCGAGGCUUCUGAGCGUAUUUGUUUAACAAGCUCCAUAGGAUCAAAGUAUCUUGAGAUGAGAGGAGGUCCAAGGAAGGAAACAAGGAAACCUAAGGGAUUUUGUUGAGGCCAGUGUUUCUCCACAAUCAAGAUAUUAGCUAGAAAAAUUUUGGCAUUUGCAGGAGUUACAAUUUCCAAGGCAUUACUAAAACACCACGCAUGGUUUUGAUGAGCUAGGCUCAAGGCUUAAAAAGAUUCCGCCUUUGAGGUGUGGUAGGAAAAGAGAGCCUCACUGAGGCUUGCAUUUAUGAAUCCUAACAUACCCCUCAAGAUGAUUUUUAAGGUGAGGAGGAGGUUAGUGAAUCUUUAACCCUUGCAGAAUAUCCCUUUAAAAUUAAAAAUAAAAUUUAACUUGUAUUUUCAUUAAUUGUCAAAAAAAUCAUUUAUUUCAUUUGCUUAUCUCUAUUCUCUUUGAAGUUUUAGCAUCCUAGACUACACUUGACAUCUUAAGCAAUCUGAUCCUCAAUCAAGGGCAGUAAAUGAUGUAGAUCAACCCAUGAGUGAUAUAUUUAUUGUAUUACAUCAUUAUAACUUAUUCAAUUAAAUAUUUGAGGCUUACAUUUCAAACUACCUUGAGGCUUAUCCCAUGCAUUUUCUGGCUCAAGUGCCUCAUCUUCGCUUUAGCCUUUAAAACAUUGAUGCCAGGCUGUUUGCUUUUAUAGGAGCUGCCCAAAAGAGAGAGGAAAAAAAAACAAAAGAACUUUUAGAACUUGUCAAAUGUAUUAAUAGGGUCACUAGAUGCUACAGGGUAUCAAAACACACGUUUGUGAUGGUAGCCUCGCCUUUUCUAUCCCAGCUUCGGGACUGAGAGGAAAUUUCCACUUUUCUCCAGUGGAACCAUAACAGAGUCACUUAAUGAGGCUAGAUGCUUGUUAAUGUUGGACCGGCAAACCAAUUCAUUUUCUUCAUGACAAUCACACAAGGUUACUUAAGCCACAGCCAUCAAUAUUGGUUAGAGUAGCCACUAACGACAACUGAUUUCUGUGAAGGUCAUAAUGAAAAUGUAUAGGCCUAGCGGUAGAGGCAAUGUGCAGAAAGUCAACCUUCCUAGACAAGGGAGAACAGCCGGAAUAUGAGGAGUGGACUACCUUCUGUCCACUAUUAAGGAUGCAUAAUAGAAGCUCAAGAGGUUUUAGCAUGCUUUAUAACCUUCUAAGUCCCAGUGACAGUAACAAAAACAAAACACAACAUGCUACAAACUCAUAUCUCUCGUUCAUAGCUUUAAGAAAGGGCCAUCCCACAAUGGAAGGAGUCGCCCCAGCAAAAAGGAAGCAAAGAACAAGAUUGAACAAACUCUUUCUCUCUCUUUCUAAUCUGAUAUAAGUAAAGAGAUUAUAUGCAGAAAAGCCAAGAGAAAGAGAGUAACCAAGUCAAAAGCCAAAACCCCAAGCUCAUGCUCUCAACACACUUUUCCCCAACUCCAUCAUUCCUAACCCUAUUUUUCCUUCGUCAAGCAUGUGUAAUAAAGGAAGUAAGAAACCAUUGUCUCAUUGAGGAUUCAUUUUCCUUAUUUCAUUUUCCCUCACAAAUCCUGUAUAUCCAAAACUGGUUCUUUUCAAAGAUUUCCAUGCCAGUCCUUUUAACGAAUUUCGUUUUAUUCAAAUAAAAAAAAAUUCUCAAUUGCCCAAAAUUUAAUUUAAGCAGAAUAGUAUACAGUUAGACAAUUUACGCAAUCCCCCAAUCGUAUCAGUAGAUGAAACUAAAUCAAACAAUACAAAGUGAAAAGAAUGAUCAAAAAAGUUGAACCAAAAGGGGAAAAAUGAAAACAUUUCUAACCCUAAUUAUGCUAUAACUCAUGAAACACUACAAUAUUCCCAUGAGCCAGAACAAGUAAUCUAACAAAAACCCAUACAGAACAAGAUCAGAAGAAAAAUGACAAAAAAAUAAGAAGAAAACCAAGAGGGUUUAAUACAAACUCACAUGGGUUUCAAGAACUUCGAUUGCUGCAACCAGAGGUCACGCAGAUGGGAAGUUGCCAGAAAUCGGGAACAUCUCACUGGCUUCCGAAGCCCCGCAACGCUCCUAUCCAUGCCGCAUUCCUCGGCGGCGGAAAUCGAAGAGGAACCACCCCAAAUCCCACGCUUCGGAGCCAAGAAAGCAAAGAAAACCCUAGAAAUUCCUAGAACGGCGAGAAACCUUUCCAAGAUCUAACCCCAAGAAGCUGAAAUCCAAAUGAGUUCGAUCGAGUUGGCGCUCCUUCCGCCGCCGCGGUGUAGAUGGAUCUCCCGAUGGGGGAGGUCAGGGAAGGCUGCGAGGAGAGGGGGCUUCUUCACGGGGGCUCGAUUCGAUGGGGAGCGGAGGGAGGGAUCGACGGAUUGGGAGGAGGCGAGGAGGGGGAGGGAUCGACGAUUCGGGGCGCGAGGGAGAAGAGGAUUUGAGGAUAUCGUGGAGAGAACUCUCUCUCUCUUCUCGCCCUUGGGUGGGUUCUUUCUUUUUCUUUGUUGCCUCGAAGGGGAGAGUUCCAUAAGGGCAGUGGGGACGUCGCCUCUUAUGUAGGACUCCAAAGAAACAAAGGGAUAUUAAAAAAAUAAUAAUAUUUAAUGGCGGUCAGGUUAAGCUUGGAUUUGGUAACCGCUUCUUAUGUGCACCACCAGCUUACUAUUGCUUGAUAGUUGCCAGAUAAUUAAUGUUAUUAGUAAAAUUAUUAUGAAAUUUAUAUGAAAGGAGAAUAGGAUCUUUGUUGUAUAUCUGAGAUUGAUGGCAGGAAGUCAACAUCAUCUUAUAUGGAUUUAUGGCAUGACUCGUGUGUGUCGCUCCAAGAAACAUAUUUUAUAAAUUGAUAGCUCCUAGAAAAAAAUUACGACAACAAAAUAACAACAAAUAGUAUGAGUUGACAGAGAAAUUAUUAAAAUUAUAUCCUAAUUUGCUAAUAGAGCUAUAAACCAAUUAUUGCUACUUUUUUAUAUUCUCUGAAUGCUUGACAUUAAUAUUUGCCAUAUAAAUUCUUUCAAAUGAUUAAUGGCUUGCUUAUAUUAUUUGUUAAAAAAAGAAAAUAAGUAUAGACAAAUUCAUGUGCAAGCAAUAAAUUUCCAGAUUGGAUCAAGAAUUCGAAUAAUUUUGUUGUGAUGCAUAAGAGUUUUAUCAGAAUAAGUAUCAAUUGUGCAUCUAGUGGUUAUUCUUAAAUUAGAUUCAUCGCUUUAUACAGAUUACUCCAAGAUCAUUUAGUGAUCGAGGUCAAAAGGAUGAAAGGUUGAUAUAGUCGUUCAUCUAGAAAUUUGUAGUGCAGUUAAUAGAUACAUAUUCUCAUUUGGUCACUUAAAGCCAGUGAUGAAGGGAGUGUUUGUGAAAGAAACAGUCCCACUGCCAUGGGAAUUCUGUGGCCACUAUUUUUUUAAAAGAAUUUUCCAAAUACGAGCUAUGAAAAGUGUUGAAAUCAUUCCAAGAGGGAGGUCCAUGAAGAAGCUAGGGUCACCCCCUCCAUAUGUUUGAAUUAUAACGGCUACAAACCUUUUCCCACCAUUUUACCUUGCGCCCUUUUUCUUUUCACUGUGGACUCCUAUCUGCACUUCACGUUAGCCUGCCUUCGUAUAGACCUCAGACCAUAUGUUCAGGCCUUCUCGCCUUGGGCGGGAAAGGAGCAAUAUAUUUUAGGUAGGCAAAGCAUGAGCAGGAGGAGGUUUUCUAUCUACUAUUCUAUUGUAUGUUAUUUGUUUAUUUAUCUAAAGAUAUAUGGGCGAACUCUUGUCCGCGUGCAAUUUUUAAUUGCACCAAUUAGUGUGGUCUUAGGUGGCUGGAAUUGCAAAUCGGUUGGAUCGAGAUGGACUUGGGCUGACCAAAUUGUGGGCAUACUUUGGGCUUGUCAAUCUGGUGUUGUUGGGUCUUUUUUGUUGAAAGAGGAUAAAUCAACUCACUUACAGCCUUAUCAAUUGCCUUAGCACCAAGCAUAACUCUUAUAAUAUGAUGGAAAGCACUUUUUGCUUUCCUAAUCGAACCAACUUUGCCAACAAAUUUAAUAAUCAAUGCAUUCCUAUGCUGAAAUUAAGAAAUAAAGUUCGGAAAACAUGCUUGAAUUUGCAAUUUUGUUGUGAAUUUAUCAUCCCAAAGCAUUCGCUUAUUAAUCACUCUUUUUUGUACGUCAGCAUGGAGACAGACUUAUAAGGAUAGGUCAUGCAGACUUGUGACAGCCUGAUCCAUAGAAGGAACAUCCUUGAAUCCACUCCAUGCAUGGCCUACGUUCUUCGUAAGGAGGCAAAGCAUGCAUGCAUGCACAUAUAUUACGUGCAGAAAAAAAUUGAAUUUAAAUUAAGUCUGUUAAAAAAUUUUCUUCUUACUUAUUUGCAAAAAUCAAAACAAUAUUCACAAACUUUCCUGCACUCUGAUGAAACUUCAAAAGUAAUUAGUUUUUUUAUCAUAAUAUAAAAUUUUCCCAUGUUUUCUACAAAACAUGGAUGCAUCAAAAACCAGCAUAUCGUGUAUGAGAAUAUUCUUCCCAAGUCUGCUUUUAGAAACAUCAACACAAAUAUUUUUUUAUCAGAUGUCUGAACAUAAAGUGACCUCGUCUAAUGGAAGAAUCAGCUGGCCGGCGAUGUUUCGGUCCCAAGAGAUUGAAGAUUUGGGCAGGUACCUUACUCAGCAACAGCCAAGUGGAAACAAUGAGCUCAUUUCGGGAAAAUUUUGAUAAAGAAUUAUUAGGAGUCAGGCACAAAUAUUUCCUUGUAUAACAUUUCAGAGCUCCAGUUAAAGAAACCAGAAGAGUUAUAUUGGGAAAAUAGAGAAAGUGGUAUUGAUGAGUCUUGGCAAUCUGAGCGGUUUUCAAUUAGGACUUAGCUCAAGCAAUCCCUGCCUUCCUGAAAUCUCUAAUGACCUAUUUAAAGUUUGUCAAUUUGCUAUGAGGUUUUUGAGAUUACAAUGGGUGCUGUUGGAGGCAAGUGAUGCACAGGAUGGAGUCUCAUCUAGCCAUCUCAGUAUUAAUCCUGCCUUAAGAUUGCCUAGCUUAUAGAAGAGGAUGAAAAAGGAAAAGAUUAAUUGAAUAGCCUAUGCUGGCAACUUAAAAUGAUAUAAAACAACGCAAGAUUUACUGCCAACCUAUUCUUACAGCUAAUGAUGACAAUUCAGAGCCUGUUUGAAAACUUUCUUGACAGAUUCAGAAGGAUCAAGUGUGGAGAUUGAGAGAGAAUGAAUGCAUUUUCCAAGCUUGCAUAUUAUAAUGUAUCUCAAAUCUGAUAACUUAUUGUUUCUUCUUUUUUUUUGAUCCUUCAGGUUAGUUUUAAGCACGUAGUAAUGGAAUACUCUCCAGCAUCCAAUAGAACGGUGUUAAUUUUUUGAAUGAAUAAUUGUGAUUCAUAAAGAUGUAUACUCGUACAGCCUAAGCCUGUCCAUUUUAGAAGUGCAAUAACUUAUUUGAAAUGGAGAAUGAUAUCUGAAUCUAAAAGGCACAGCAAAUCCAAAAUAUCACAUUAGAAGGCAGAAGAACAGUUCCCAUAAAAAACAAAAAGUUAAAGGUGCAUCAAAAUGCAGAUAAUAUCUCAUUAAAGAAGAGAUCAAGAGGUUAGAGAUUUUCCAAUCAUGUGCUUAAAAAUGACCAAAUGAAUGAUAUCUGAAUGUAAAAGAUGCAGAAAAUCGAGAUUAUCUCGGUAAGAAAGAGAAGACAAGGUUUGAGACGCUCCAAUCUUCUAGUUUAGAAGGACCUAAUGCAAAUUCUAGUCCAGUAGGUUCCACAUCCUGAGAUUUAUAUCAAAGACGAUCUAAUCUAAGCUAUACUCUCAUAUAGUCCCUACAGAGUACAAAAAGACUGCACUUGAGCCCCAAGAAAAUCCUCUCCCGAAAUCUGAAGUCAUUGACAAUUGGAACAAGGCCAUACUGGUCUAUCAUGAAUAUGACAUAGAAUGCGAGUCAACAUGGUCAAACUUCUGAAAUUGCUUGGAGUCCCUCGAUUCUAAUAUAGAGUUUGUGCCAUCAGUACUUUGGACACCAUCAUCCAAUCCACUAUAGGAUUAUGGUUGUGUGUCCGGUGCUGCCAUUAAGUAAAGGAGUGACCCAAUAGAUUUGACUUUGGAGAGAAGCCUGGACUCAUCAGAGACACAGGCAUCCAGAUCACUUGAGUCACUCAAUAAUUGCUCCUCAAUUGAUUGUAGAUCUUGUAUGCCAGCAUGGAAAUUUUCUGUUUCAGCUGUACGAGUUAAUAAGUUAUCAGCAGAGAUGCGUCCAGGAAGAAAAUUAGGAGCUGGGGUCGUAUAGGCGCCCAAGGAUAGUUUUUGGGUUUGGUGCUCUCUUAUGCCAUCAACCCUUCUCAAACUUUGAAUUUCUUGAUUGCAAAGUUGAGUCAUUCCGUUCGGGAUAGGGUUCACCGUGGCAUUGGCACUGUUAAGUGCAAAGUUGUCUGCUUCAUUCAAAAAGUCAAAAGAAAAGGAAAAAAAAGAAAGUCUUAGCUAGAGAUCAUGGUAGUAGAAUAUAAUAUUUAAUGAAAUCAAGGGUUAAUGAAUCGAUAAUUUACGCAAGUUGGAUGUCUUUGGAUUCCAAGCACUUGCAGCUUGAUCCAUAGUUGGUGGGAACUCGAUGACUUGAGAAGGAAAAGAACGAAACAAUUAGCAUUUAUAUCUUGGUUUAGUUACUAGAUGUUCAGGAUAAUUUACCUGAACUUGGUGAAUUCAUUUGUAUAGCUCCAGCUGUUGUUUUCAGCAGUGAAACUGAAUAGUUGGCACAGAUUGAUGGACCAAGAGAUUCAAAAGUCCUGAUACAAGUAGGAGCAUUCAUACUCCCUUGAUUGUUAAUAUGAUGUAGAUGAGGCGCAUACCAGUUGCUGGAUGGUUGAUAGAACAAAGAUGGAAAUCUUGGUUUGAGCAUGCCUAUAUCUUGCAUCUCACUACUAACAGUCCCAAAAAAUGAAGAAUUGAGGCUUGGAAAAGCUCUCUGAUUCAUCAUAAAUAGACGGUUAUCACUACAUAAAAGCCUUUCAUAAUGUUUCUCCAAAGUUCCUUCUAGAAACUCAAGAUAGUGCCACCUGAAAGAAAGAAAAUGCGAAACAAGAUAUGAGAAUAUUACAAAAACUCUACUAAAGAAGUUAUUAUUUUAUUUUUUAUUUGUUCUUCACAUUUUCAGAAGCUCUUCCCAUAGAAGUAGUCUAACAGGACUGAACAUUGAAUGACUGAAGCUCUAAAUCAAAAGACUUACCUACUUCAUCAAUAAAGAAGUACAUUCUUCUAACAAAAAAGCUUAGAAAAAUAACAGAGCUCUAAGAAAGUGAUGUCAGUUUAAUCUUUAUAGACCUGGAUAUGGUUGCAUUCCCUCCACUAAAAUCAGAACAAGCUUCCCAAUUAGUAUGCUUUCUUGGCUGUGGAUUUAUUUCAUUAAAGAACGCGGGCUGCUGCCUUAACUGCACUAUGCACCAAAUAUCUAGUUAUCAAACCCAAGCAAGUCUUUCAAAUUUUGUUAUUAAAAAAAUCAAAUUGUUAAGAAACAUCAACAAACCACUCAAAGCAAAAAAUUAGUAAAAAACAUGUCUAAGACAAACAAAGUAGUCGAUACAGUAAGAAUGUAGCGAACUUAAUCAAUGGAAUAAGAAUAUAUGUUUAAAAAAAUCAUCUAACCUCAACUUCCAGAAUGCCAUGUUGAUCCUGAAUGAAACGUGCUCUGAUUGCUGAGAUGUCAAGCCAUUGGAUCUCAAGCUUUUUUUUCAAUCCAUUUUCUAAUAUCUCCCACACAAGUUUUCGCUUAGCAUAGUAAAACUUAGCUACAAUAUCACCUUCAUUUCUUGACUUUCUCUAAAAUUAUGAAAUAUAGUUAAAAAAAAUGUUAGAUGUUAAAAAGUAAAACUGCUUAGCAAGUUUUAUCCUGACUAUUUGCUUCUAACUUGAUCUAUCAAGUCAAAAUAUAACAUUACCUCCCAACAGCCGAUCUUGAGUUUUGUUGCAGGCAAAUUUGAAGCCUUCCAUUUCACAGGUGUAGGUUGGGUAUUAUAGUUAUCAUUUCUAGUUUUUUGUUCUUCUAUAUUAGUACUCACAGUUGGUUCAUUAUGAGGAGUGGUCUUCUCCUGACAUAGCUUCAUAUGAAUGAGAUCCAAGAAAGUUUGGUUUUUGCAUAAAUUCAAACCAAGAGGACUUGGUACCCCUGUCAUGUCGGUGCAUAAAUCUAUCUGCAUAGACAAAAUAUAGAUAAAAUGGUAUAUAAUUAUCUAUCUGAGAAAUAAGAAAUUCUAGCAAAAACUAACUAUAGAGACUUUAGAAGAAAGCCAAACUUGGUUAAUCUUGUAAUACAAAUAAUUAUCUGUUAAAGCAUCCCUUACAUCGCUACACCGCCCAUGGAAUUUGACCUGCUAGAAACAAGCACUGCCGUGAGUCUACUUAUACUACUCCAAGGCUGAUCGAUAGGCAAGCUGCUAACUUAUUUAAUGAAUUUCCUGAGAGAUCCAAAACAUCUUCAUUGACUGUUGCAACUUCGACUCAAUGGGGAUUGCUCUGUGGUGCUCACCAAACUUUAUCUCCUCUUCUUGUCAGUUGAGUCCCCCACAGUUAGGUGUCUUCAAGAUAAAUUUUGAUGGAGGUGUUGAGACCAAUGGUGCGAGUGCUGGUUUUGUUGUGCAUGAUUAUGAAGGAAAGGCUUUGCUUCUUGGGGGCCUCAUCUUUCUGUAAUUGUUCGGUCACAAAGCUGAGCUUCAAGGAGCUUGGGAGGGUUUGAGGUCUGCUAUUGGCUUCUUCAUGCAGAUUCAUUUGUUCCAUUCCAAAUCAAGGUAACUAAAUUAACUUGACCCACUCAGGUUCAUGCUUCAACUUCAGCGAAGAACCUAAUUUACUUUUUCUCAGCCCUCCCAAACUUCCCAUGUUCCUAAUCCCUAUCUUCCUAAGAACCAUAAACAUCCCCUAAAUCAAUCUAUUUCAAAUUAUUUUUCUUUAGCACAUACAACCUUAUCAAAAUAAAGACAACUAGAUAUUUGUGAUGGCCCUGGAAAUAUCAAAAGAUGAAGGGAUGAGUUUUUUUCUCACGAUUCAUUAUUCAUUUGAUAGUAGUGGAGCUUCAUUUCAUAUACAGCUUGCACCUAAAACAAUUAUAUUAUGAUGAAAAUAUAUAUUGCUUUUCAAAAUAAAUAAAGGAUAUCCACACUAGCUAGAAUAUAUCCUGUUGCCAAUACAUUUGAGGAGAUAUAAAACAUAAAGUCCGUGAAAAAGUUAAAAAGAAAAUUGUACAACAAAAACCUGGAGUAUAUAUACAUUGUAAAUUAAUGCAACUUAUUGGUUGACCUAUACUUAUUAUUGACAUCUUAGGUAAGUUCUUAAAUGCAAGGUCAAAAAAGGGAGGGAAGGGAAUAACUUGAAUAAACUAUGAUUAGGGAAAAAGUUUCUCCCAUAAGUCCUUCCUUGAGGUCCUCUUUAAAGUUUCUCCCAUACCUGAUUCUAUUUUAAUGGAAAAAGGAUUAGGGAAUGUUGCUUAUGAUUGUAUGGGUAUCGUAGCUAAUCAAAUCAUGAACAUCAAAGGACAAUGCUCAAAUGUAACGGCUCGAUUGAUGUUUUUUUUUUUUGGUUUUAGAAAAUUUUCUUUUAUUUUCUUUUCAAAGUUGUGAUUAGCAAGAAAGUUGAGACCUUCAUACAAUACCUGAAGAUGCGGUGGAGAAGGGGACUUUAGAAGGAGGGAGUGAGGAAGAGAACCAAAAAGAAAAGAAACCCUCAGACCUAUGCAUGAUGGUCCUAUCAUUUCUCAUUUAUCUGCAACAUGUCUGUGUAUGUCUGCUCAGUGUUCACAAUACUGGUAAAAAGACCUAACAUGACAUUCUUUUUCAGAUAAGGUCAUACAAAUUAAAUCAAAAUUUCACCAAUAGAUCUAAAAUUCCUCCUGGCCAUCCAAUCAGCAACAGUCACUAAACAGAGAAAGCUAAUAAUCCAGUCUUUUUAUAUGUCUAUAUAUUUAAAAAUAAAGAACAGACCUUUUGUCUCUUGCAAUUUGACUCUGGCUCUUCAGGCCUAUCUUGUGGUCUGCUCUCUUCGGGACUUUGUAGCCCAUCCAAACGAAGAAGUACCUUAUCUAACACACUGUUAUAGCUCCCCUCUUCCUCAGCCCAUUCAUGACUUCCUUCUGACCCAACAACACAUUCACUCAUGGUCUAGAAAAAAAAAAAUCUAUAGAUCAUAUCUAACAUACAACCAUUUAACCAAUCUUAAAGAAUAGAAAUCUAAUGGAUUGAAAUUUUUUAAAAAAAAGAGAGAGAAAGAGAUAAGAAAACCUUUACAAAUGGCAAGUUUUUAAGCAAUAGUGGCAACAAUGGCCAAUAUUAUGACGCAGUUUUCUAUCUGAAUGAGGUAAAUACAGGACUGUUAAGCAAUAUUGAAGCAAUACCUAAGUUUUCUAUCUGAAUGAGGUAAAUACAAGAUUGUUGAGCAAUAUUGAAGCAAAAAAUAUAUAUAUCGAUCUUUUACAAGCAGGAUUUCGAAGCUAUCCACUCAAGAGUUUCAACCAGAAGAAUACCAACUAAUAGGAUGACUUUAGAUGAUAGAAGAAAUAAAAACAGAACCGAGAAGAAUCAAUAAAGAAGCUUUUACAAGCAAACACCGGAUCUAUUCCUAAUAACAAAAUCCAAUCUUCAAUCUGAGUCAGCUACCAAUUUAUCCGAGUCAGCUACCAAUUUAUCCGAGUCUAACAACAAGGAACGGUAACCAGUGACAUGGUAGAAUAAAGAGCUAGGAAUCAGAGACAAGAAAACUAACUUAUAAUCAAGUAAUCAGAGAAAACCGACAACAAAAUCCAAUCUUUGAACUCUGCUUCCAAGACAGGGGAGGCCGUAGGGAAGGAAGGCAAGGGAAGAAGGGAGGGCGGGUGGCGGGUGUUUGCUAGGCUCGCCGAAGGCCCUUUUUAAUACCCAUGGGACGGUGCCACCUCCGGAGAGGCGGUGCGCGCGGGCGCGCGGGACGGCUUCACGGGGAGGGUGAACGGUUGAGAUUGAAGCGGGGAAAAUCGGACGGCAUCUGCCGACUUCUCGCAUGCGACCUGUUCGGAAGAUACUGUUGAGAGAACAAUUAGUCAACAAGUAAAUAUAUUUAUAAUCAUGAUUUGCAGUAAUUUAUUUCUUUUUUUUCUAGAAUACGAAGUUAUCUGCCGAAUCUGUAUUUGCUAUGUUUUAUGAAUUGAUAUAUGAAUUUCUUUUGUUUGAACCAAAGUUUACCGUACCGAUACUGGACUCCAUAUUAGUGCCACACUAGCAUAGUGUCGUUAAGAUGCGGUAUGGUUGGCGUACCGAGAACCGGUAUGCCACCAGUACCAAAUUAGUAUGGUACAAUACAUACGGUACUGAAUCGGUACGGUACGAUAUAUCAUGGUUGGAACUUAGGUUCACUGGAUGCAUCAUAAAUUCUGUGUUAUUUAUUAGAUUGAGAAAUUGAUUUUAUGUUUGAAAAGAUACAUGCAUAUUUCUAGUGGAUCUUGAAAUAUGUACUAAUAAUUAGAUUUAUAAUAAAUGGACUAUUCUGUUAUUUAAUGCAAUAUUGUUCCAUUUUUAUGAUCCAAUUGCUGUGGAGCAUUACCUGAAGAUGACUUGCACUUUGGCAAUAUAUGCAGAUCAUCAAUUUCGACCCAGUCAAAUGUUUUAUUAUUCAAUGUAUGCUUUUAUCAUUUAGUUCUCACCAGACAUUUUUAUUAUUAUUUGAAUUCAAUUAAACUGUUCAAUAGCGGGAUUUCCAAAUAAAAUAUCAAUAUUUGUCAUUGUAUCAAAAUAUUUUUUGCACGAAAGAUAUUAUCACUCCCAAAGAACCUCCUCUAUUCUCUAAGUAUCAUCAUGUCUUGGGCAUCAAACGUCUCCCGCCAGAUACUAUUCAGCAAGAGAAUUUUUUCGUUUUUGUUAUUUCAAAUCGGAGCUAGGUCACGAACCAAGACCCAUAUGCGAUGCAACUAUAUAUAGUUCUCCGAGGUGGCUUCGAACGAAGUGCAGCUUCGUAUGAUUCGAGCAGCUCAUCGUCGAGUCCUCCAGCAUCCUUCUCUACUUGGCGCCUAGGUCAAGCAGGUCCUCAGCGACAACAGGCAUCACAAUAUCAGUUAUAGUUUUAUAUCUUUUGGGCUCGUUUGGUUCGCGGAAAAAGAAGGGGGGAAGUGUGGUCAAUGGGAAAGUAAUGAGAUGCCUCUUGUUUGGUUGGAGUUUUCAAAGCAGAGAGAAGGGAAAGUUGAAUUCCCAUAGGAAUAUGAUUCUCACAUUUCAUGGGAAAGUAACUUUCCCAUGUACUCCAUUUUUACUUUUUCCCAAAAAGUCCCUUCAGCAUUAAAGAAGCAUUAAAGAGACAUUAAAAACCUAAUUUUUAUUAAGAGCAUAAUAGGAAUUAUACAUAACUUUUCUAGGAAAGUGAAUGGCCAACCAAACAUAAGCACUCACUUUGGAAAUUUGUCACUUUCCCAUGGUCAACCAAACAUGCCAAAAGUACUUUCCUAGGCAUCAUUUUUCUAGGAAUUUGUUUCCCAGAAAUCAUAUUUCUAGGAGGGAAAAUGCUUCCCGCGAACCAAACAAGCCCUUUAUGAUUUCUAUACGACAAUCAACAUUUUGCCACUCACAUAACAUUGCUACUGUGAAAUAUAAUAUUAAUAAGUGAAAACGAUUAAGUUGUGGUACAUUUGGCAAAUAUCUAGCACAAUCCUAUCCGCUUGCACGCUUUUGCUUUUGCUAUUCAAUACACUAACCCACUCGCGCAAUGUCUGGCUUCGAGGGAGUGGGGUCAACUCGAAUGGCUUUUUAUCCACUUGUUGGAUAUGUUCGAGCUCUUUAUCACCUCUCUAGUCACUUCCCUCUAACUGCGAGGGAGUGAGAUCCACCAAUCAAUUGGAGAGUAGGUGAAAGGGGAGGCACCUCCUUUGUGUAUUCUUAUUUGCCCACCAUGAGCCGCCAUUGCCAUGUCAGCAAGCUGGCCACGUCGACAUGCAUAUCGAAUGCAGACCUAUGUGGAUGAUGUCGCGCCAAACUACCAUCAACUUGGGCAAGAUGGGACUCUCAAGAUGGAAUUCCUUCUACUAAUAGAACCAUCAAUCCCACAACUUAAAAAAUAAAAAAAAAAUUGCAUAAGUGAAGAGAGGUUAUCCGCCCACAUCCUUUCUUCUUUUUCGUUAGACUUUUCUCCUCAUCCCAGAGUUAUUUUCUUCUCUCACGAAUGUUCGUCUUUAUGAAAUCAUUCAAAAUAUAAUGUUCAUUAGUAUAUAACAUAUGGCUAGAUGAUACGCACCUAGCAAAAUAGUUAUCUAAUGUUCCAAUAUACACCUACAAGUAAAUCGUACAUAAUUUUAGAAUAUGAUGUUCACUAGAACAUACCACAUGACCAGAUGAUACACAUCUAGCAAAAUAGUCAUCAAACAC